CUAUUCUUCCACAAUCAGAAAACAGAGAUACACUACAACACCUUCACGUGAAAAACAAAGAGAGAGCAGAAGAGAGAAAAGAGAGAACGUGUGAGAGAAGAGAAGGGAGCCGCCGCCCAAGCCACCACCAUUGUCGCCGGUCACGCACGCGAGCAAGGGAGAGAGCGCGAGUAGAGAGGGAUUCGCGAGGGAGAGGAAAUAGAGAACGAGGACAGCAGCUUUUGAACCUUCUUUCCAUCUCCAAACUUCUGUUUUUCCAUCACCAAACAAGAUGGUCGUGAAGAUAAUGGCGAUGACUCAUUCUUGGGAGUUGAUGCUACGUGACGUGCCAAUACCGGAGGACGACUACACUUCAGAGGAAGAGGCUAAGGAAUAGGGUUUGGGUUGAGAGUCUUUUGUUUUCUGUUGGGGUUGAGAGUUUCCGAAGUGUUGGUAUCGAACAAUUUUAUUGCUUAAAUUCGAAUGAACAAGUUUUGAUGUAAUCUUUAUUUUCAUUCAGGCCUUUGAUUCGUA